GUUUUGUUGCAGAACUAAACAACUAUAUUAUAAUUGAUAGAUAAUUUUUCAUUCUAGGGGAAAGCUCUUGAUUUUUAAUUUGUUAAUGGGCAGAACUUGUAGUUUUCGACCUGGAUGCUCAUAGUCAUACUCAUUGUUUAUGUUUUCGGCUAAUUUGUGUUCUCUCUUAUUGGUUUUUUUUUUGAGUCAAUUGUACUAAAAACUUUCUAUUGUUCGAUGUUUCGAAAGCAUGUCCAGAUACUUUAUUUGGUGAGUCAAUUAAUAUUUGGAGUCAAUUCAUCUUACAAUUAUAUUUUGUGUUAUAAAUUUUCAGGAGAAUACUUGACAGCACUACGAACGUUUCAUGGCAGAACAGCAGCACCGUUAUGAUAGCAACACACCAAGCUACUCCUUAAACGAUUCCCCAAUUUUUAUGCAAAGUCGCCGCAAUCAACACACCGGUAACGGUAGUGAACCAAAUGAGUCAAAUUCACCACCAGAUGAGAAUGAAGAAGCUGUUGUCCCUAUUCUUGCGGAUGUAAACGAUUUGCUAAGUGCUCCAGGACGCACACACCUCCCAGUUCUAUGUCCAGACCGUCAAGGAACAACAACAUGGUUUAGACAUCACAAGACCGGUAAGAUUAUGAAGCAGAUCCUAAAGAUGCUGAAAUCUGAUCUCCCAAAGUCAUAUCCAACCUAUCGGUCUCUCCCACCAGAAAUUAAAAACCGAUGGUUCCGAGCAUUUGCGAGUUCAACUGGGACCCAAGCACUACAGAUUAUGUUCGCACACACUACACUAAGCAAGCAAAAGCAUCUUUUAAAGAAAAUGUCCGAGACUUGAAGGUAUCAUGGAAGGAAAAAGGUGCUGACAACUUACCAGAAUGGAUGAAGGCAAAGAAAAAUCUAUUUGAUGGUUACAUCAAGAUGUGGACAGAUGAAAAGGCCAUUGAGGUUGCAGCACAAAACUCUACAAAUCGGGGAAGUAAAAUAGGUGGUUUAGGGGUUGCUAAACACAACAACGGUGCAAAAACAUAUGAACGAUGUUGGGAUGAGAUGACAAUUGAACUAGGAACAGAGCCUAAUAUGAUUCAUUUCAUGGAACACACACUUAGACAAGAAGACCAGAACCAUAAGCGAUAUGAAAACAAAACAUUAUCUUGAUUUGGCUUCGACUCAGAUGGAGCUUAUCCAAUCUCAGCGCCAACCUGAUGGUGAUGCUUCGGUUCAGCCAGUGCCUCUUACACGAGAGGAGAUUAACUCUAUUAUGCGUAGUGUUGUACCGAAGGUUAGAGGAAAACAUUAUGGCUUUGGUAACCUGGUUGAUGAUGAAUGCCCUUCUUUGUCUUCAGCUCCACAACAGAUUCCUAAAUUACAAGAGGAGAUUCAAACUUUGAAGGCUUGCAAUGAGGAGAAAGACGCUCAGAUCAAAUAUCUCAUGGAAUGCAACAAACGGAUCCUAGACCGGUUUCCUGAUAUACGACCACCUACCUACAUGGUACCACCAACCGUCGAAGAUGAUGAUGACACGACCCAACCUUGAUCGUCUCUUUAUUAAUCUAGUGAAAAGUUGUAAAUUGUAUGGAUUGUAUGUAUUGUAAUACUGUUUUUUGGAGGCAUGAAGUAUCUUUUGGUAACAUUUUA